rnacentral:rRNA from 1 species
UACAGAGGAUGCAAGCGUUAUCCGGAAUGAUUGGGCGUAAAGCGUGCGUAGGUGGUUUGUUAAGUCUGAUGUGAAAGCCCUGGGCUCAACCUGGGAAUUGCAUUGGAUACUGGCAGGCUAGAGUGCGGUAGAGGAUGGCGGAAUUCCCGGUGUAGCAGUGAAAUGCGUAGAGAUCGGGAGGAACAUCUGUGGCGAAGGCGGCCAUCUGGACCAGCACUGACACUGAGGCACGAAAGCGUGGGGAGCAAACAGG